ACGUCUCUUGCCUCGCUCGAUCUCUCGCUUCUCCUCGGUUGAUCUUGAGCUGGAUGCAGCCUGUACUGGAUACAGCCCUGUACGAGACAAGAAUGAGGCUUACGCCUUCGACGAUCUUUGAGUACGAUCUUAUCCGCAUGCCACGGGUAUCAUCGUAAUUUAUCCGUCGGGACAUCG
rnacentral:snoRNA from 1 species